rnacentral:rRNA from 1 species
UGGCUCAGGAUGAACGCUAGCGACAGGCUUAACACAUGCAAGUCGAGGGGCAGCGGGGGUGAUGGCUUGCCAUCACCUGCCGGCGACCGGCGCACGGGUGAGUAACACGUAUGCAACCUGCCCGCCACAGGGGGAUAAGCGGAAGAAAUUCCGUCUAAUACCGCGUGACGCGGCGCCGGGGCAUCCCGGUGCCGCCAAAGGGAUUACCGGUGGCGGAUGGGCAUGCGGCGCAUUAGCUAGUCGGCGGGGUAACGGCCCACCGAGGCGACGAUGCGUAGGGGUUCUGAGAGGAAGGUCCCCCACACUGGUACUGAGACACGGACCAGACUCCUACGGGAGGCAGCAGUGAGGAAUAUUGGUCGAUGGGCGCGAGCCUGAACCAGCCAAGUCGCGUGAGGGAUGACGGUCCUACGGAUUGUAAACCUCUUUUGCCGGGGAGCAAGCGUGCGUUCGUGAACGCGCGUCGAGAGUACCCGGAGAAAAAGCAUCGGCUAACUCCGUGCCAGCAGCCGCGGUAAUACGGAGGAUGCGAGCGUUAUCCGGAUUUAUUGGGUUUAAAGGGUGCGUAGGCGGGAUGCCAAGUCAGCGGUAAAAAUGCGGUGCUCAACGCCGUCGAGCCGUUGAAACUGGCGUUCUUGAGUGGGCGAGAAGUAUGCGGAAUGCGUGGUGUAGCGGUGAAAUGCAUAGAUAUCACGCAGAACUCCGAUUGCGAAGGCAGCAUACCGGCGCCCUACUGACGCUGAGGCACGAAAGCGUGGGUAUCGAACAGGAUUAGAUACCCUGGUAGUCCACGCAGUAAACGAUGAAUGCUAACUGUCCGGCUCGAAUGAGCGCUGGGCGGUACAGCGAAAGCGUUAAGCAUUCCACCUGGGGAGUACGCCGGCAACGGUGAAACUCAAAGGAAUUGACGGGGGCCCGCACAAGCGGAGGAACAUGUGGUUUAAUUCGAUGAUACGCGAGGAACCUUACCCGGGCUCAAACGCAGGAUGACGGGUCCCGAAAGGGGUCUUUCUUCGGACAUUCUGCGAGGUGCUGCAUGGUUGUCGUCAGCUCGUGCCGUGAGGUGUCGGCUUAAGUGCCAUAACGAGCGCAACCCCUGUCCACAGUUGCCAGCAGGUAAAGCUGGGGACUCUGUGGAGACUGCCGGCGCAAGCUGCGAGGAAGGCGGGGAUGACGUCAAAUCAGCACGGCCCUUACGUCCGGGGCGACACACGUGUUACAAUGGCAGGUACAGCGGGAUGCCACGGGGCGACCCGGCGCUGAACCCGAAAACCUGUCUCAGUUCGGAUUGGAGUCUGCAACCCGACUCCAUGAAGCUGGAUUCGCAAGUAAUCGCGCAUCAGCCACGGCGCGGUGAAUACGUUCCCGGGCCUUGUACACACCGCCCGUCAAGCCAUGGAAGCCGGGGGUACCUGAAGUGCGUGACCGCGAGGAGCGCCCUAGGGUAAAACCGGUGACUGGGGCUAAGUCGUAACAAGGUAGCCGU